GGAGGGCUGCCAGAGCGGUUGAAUGGGCCACUUUCGAAAAGUGUUGUCCUGAUCAUAUCGGGACCGCGAGUUCGAAUCUCGCGCCCUCCG
rnacentral:tRNA from 1 species